AUAUAAGCAUAAGAAAAUAAGAUAAAUCAUUUUCUUCGCUUUCAUCAUCAGUUCAUCACUCCAAACCGUUUCCAAAACCUAAAACAAUCCUUUUUUUCUGUUACUCUUCCAUGGAGUUUCAAUUAUAUUCGAAGCUGGUGGAAAUGCUAAACCUUCGAGAAUUCCUCAAGUUUGAGACUUUCCAGUUCUGAUCGCGGGAGCACAAUCUCUCCAUCUUCAUCUGGUUCCCGUGAUUGCUCGGUGCUGAUUUAGUCCUUUAGGGUUUCGAUUUUGCUUCGGAAGUAGGAAACCUAAUUGAAAUUUUGUACUCUGUUUUUGCCCCUUUUGGCAAUGAAGUUGUUCUAGGUGGCGUUGUAAUUUAUUCUUUCAUUGCUUUAUGGUCAAAGUUCAUAGAUUUGAAUGUUCCCCCAAGUACUGUACAAUCAACAAUUAUCAUAACAUCAUAACAUUGU